rnacentral:rRNA from 1 species
UACGGAGGGGGCAAGCGUUGUUCGGAUUUACUGGGCGUAAAGGGCGCGUAGGCGGCGUGACAAGUCACUUGUGAAAUCUCCGGGCUUAACUCGGAAUGGUCAAGUGAUACUGUUGUGCUAGAGUAUGGUAGGGGCAGAGGGAAUUCCUGGUGUAGCGGUGAAAUGCGUAGAGAUCGGGAAGAACAUCGGUGGCGAAGGCGCUCUACUGGACCACAACUGACACUCAGGGACGAAAGCUAGGGGAGCGAAUGGG